UACGUAGGUGGCGAGCGUUGUCCGGAAUUACUGGGUGUAAAGGGCGUGUAGGCGGGAAUGUAAGUCAGAUGUGAAAUUCCGAGGCUCAACCUCGGCGCUGCAUCUGAAACUAUAUUUCUUGAGUGCUGGAGAGGAAAGCGGAAUUCCUAGUGUAGCGGUGAAAUGCGUAGAUAUUAGGAGGAACACCAGUGGCGAAGGCGGCUUUCUGGACAGUAACUGACGCUGAGGCGAGAAAGCGUGGGGAGCAAACAGG
rnacentral:rRNA from 1 species